ACGUGUUUUCUGAUCUUUAUUCUAUUUUCUGCAAUUUGUAAAGGUGAUAUCGAUAUGGACUAUUACUCCAGCCCCGUUUUGCGAUCUUCGACAUCUCUUACCUGCAACAGUCACCUAAGUCAGUAUUACUGUCAAAUCAAAUGUAACAUGAAGCCGGCACUGUGUAUUCAAAAUGAUUGUUACUGCAUAACUAUAGCUCCUGCAAACCAAAAAGAAUCUG